UCAACAUCAUUCAUGAGUUUUGGUUAACAUUUGUUUGACCAAAAGCACCUUAAACUGUAAUUUAAAGGUUCAUCUUAUCUUCUUCUUUACUCUGUGAACCUAUUUUCUUGAAGAUCGCCAAUAAUUUCAUAAAACAAUGACGGAGCGAAAGGUCGUUCAAUAUUUACUGGAUGGGCUUUGUGAGGUGAUAAGAAUUGUAGCUACAGGGUUAAACGAGUGAAUAAAUUUGCCCUGAAAACCGAAAAACACAUUGUUAGUAUUUCUUGCACUAAUUUAUUAGAGUUUAGCAAGAAACAGUUCAUAGAGCAUGAAUAUAAAACUACAGGAGUCGAAUGUUGAAAGGAAAAUUGUAAAGCAGGCAUAUAAACAAACCUCUCCUUCAGCUUUGACCUGAAUUCUGGUAUUGACUGCAGCUAGUAGUAGUAGAUCCAAAUCUAAUGGGAGCAGCCAAAACAGUCCUCCCACGUGCUGUGGGCUUCCAUUGUUGUUCAAAGGAAGGUUUUCAAUAAACUAAGUUAAAGAAAAAAUAAGAAUUAAUGAUGCCAUUAGAAUCUAAAAAACUCCAUAUGUACCUUUUUCCUGGCCCAACAAGAAAAUCAACACAGUUAGUCUGGCAACUCUCGAAGUCAUCUCCACUAAUCAAGCUGUUCAUUCUAACACCAAAUCAAUAAACCCUAAGACGGUACAACAACCAACAGAGCAAAAGCAUUAAUUUGAGUUGGAAGGAGAAAUGUCAGCUUCCUUUUUUC
rnacentral:lncRNA from 1 species